AGAGUUUGAUCCUGGCUCAGGAUGAACCCGCUAGCGACAGGCUUAACACAUGCAAGUCGAGGGCAUCAUGAGGUUAGCAAUACCUUGAUGGCGACCGGCGCACGGGUGAGUAACGCGUAUGCAACCUGCCCGAUACCGGGGUAUAGCCCAUGGAAACGUGGAUUAACACCCCAUAGUACUUUUAUCCUGCCUGGGAUGUGAGUUAAAUGUUCAAGGUAUCGGAUGGGGCAUGCGUCCUAUUAGUUAGUUGGCGGGGUAACAGCCCACCAAGACGAUGAUAGGUAGGGGUUCUGAGAGGAAGGUCCCCCACAUUGGAACUGAGACACGGUCCAAACUCCUACGGGAGGCAGCA
rnacentral:rRNA from 1 species